rnacentral:rRNA from 1 species
UACGUAGGGGGCAAGCGUUGUCCGGAUUCACUGGGUGUAAAGGGUGCUCAGGCGGACUUGUAAGUCAGAGGUGAAACUCCGAAGCUUAACUUCGGAACUGCCUUUGAUACUGCAAGUCUCGAGUACGGGAGAGGGUAAUGGAAUAACAGGUGUGAGCAGUGAAAUGCGUAGAUAUCUGUUAGAACACCAAUGGCGAAGGCAGUUGCCUGGCCCCGUUACUGACGCUAAAGCACGAAAGUGUGGGUAGCAAACAGG